AAAGCCCCAAAGACAUGAUUUUAUAUGUUUCAACCCCUAGUUACAUUUCCAAUGCAUAUUUUUUUACAAAACAAAAUUACCCUUAAAUCAUUCCCCAAAAACUGUCUGCUCUCUCCUCUCCUCCUCUUCUCACGCUCAACCAAUCCCCUCCUCGCUCCUCCCCGCCGCCACGUCAUCAAUCACCGUCGGCCAACGGCAACCUCUCCACCGCAACACUCGCGAACGUCGCGGCGAUGGCGCCGGUGCCGGUGAGCGUCGCCAAGCAAGCGGAGCUCCUGAAGGCUGACGACAACACGUAUUUCAAGAAGGAGCGAUUGGGUGUUGCGAUUGAUGCCUACACCGAGGGUUAAAAGUAUAUGAAUUUGUGUUGGGCAUUUUGGCGAACGGUUGGUGGGUUUUGCUUGGAUUGGACCGUUUAGGACUUGGGUCAACUUGAUUCUUCUUUUGGUCAGAUGGGUUUCUUUCCUCUUAUUUAUUUUGAUUGGAUGUUUCAAAAUUCUUUUGUGUUGUUUGUGGGUUUGUAUUUAAUCUUACCCCCUCAUUUCCAUUUCAAAUAGGGAUUAUGCUUAUGUUCUUGAUUAGGUCAUGGAAUCUGCACACAAGUCGCUUGGAUUGGAAAAUGUUAUGCUUUUCUAAUUUACUUGUUCUGCAUCAGGAGGGACGCAACCAAUAAGUUGGAAUAUGCGAAUGAAUAUUGUUGUUGAUGUUGCUAGAGGAGUAUCAUUCCUACACAGUUGUAGAAUGAUGGAAACAGAAACAUUAAGCAGAGACAUUAAAUAAGGAUGGUGGAAUGUUGUUCUAGACAUUGAUUGAUUGAACCAAAACUUGUGUGCAUGUAUGUAUUGUGUAUAUUAAUUUUGUUGUGUAAACAGUUGAUAUGGAUGACAAACAAUGUAGCAAGCUUGGCAUAUUUUUUGUUCUUAUUGUAUUUUUGGUAUUUUUAUCACCAUAUGUUUACGUUUUGUUUUGAUACAACAUAUA